CCUGACUCCUACGGGAGGCAGCAGUGGGGAAUAUUGGGCAAUGGGCGCAAGCCUGACCCAGCAACGCCGCGUGAAGGAAGAAGGCUUUCGGGUUGUAAACUUCUUUUGUCAGGGACGAAGCAAGUGACGGUACCUGACGAAUAAGCCACGGCUAACUACGUGCCAGCAGCCGCGGUAAUACGUAGGUGGCAAGCGUUAUCCGGAUUUACUGGGUGUAAAGGGCGUGUAGGCGGGACUGCAAGUCAGAUGUGAAAACCACGGGCUCAACCUGUGGCCUGCAUUUGAAACUGUAGUGCUUGAGUACUGGAGAGGCAGACGGAAUUCCUAGUGUAGCGGUGAAAUGCGUAGAUAUUAGGAGGAACACCAGUGGCGAAGGCGGUCUGCUGGACAGCAACUGACGCUGAGGCGCGAAAGCGUGGGGAGCAAACAGGAUUAGAUACCCCGGUA
rnacentral:rRNA from 1 species